UGGGGAAUAUUGGUCAAUGGAGGCAACUCUGAACCAGCCAUGCCGCGUGCAGGAAGAAGGCCCUAUGGGUCGUAAACUGCUUUUGAACAAGAGAAAACCCCGGUACGUGUACUGGGUUGAUAGUAUUGUUAGAAUAAGCAUCGGCUAACUUCGUGCCAGCAGCCGCGGUAAGACGAAGGAUGCAAGCGUUAUCCGGAUUCAUUGGGUUUAAAGGGUGCGUAGGCGGACUGAUAAGUCAGUGGUGAAAUCUCUCGGCUUAACCGAGAAACUGCCAUUGAUACUGUUAGUCUAGAGUACAGAUGAUGUGGGCGGAAUAUGACAUGUAGUGGUGAAAUACUUAGAUAUGUCAUAGAACACCGAUUGCGAAGGCAGCUCACAAAACUGUAACUGACGCUGAGGCACGAAAGUGCGGGGAUCAAACAGGAUUAGAUACCCCCGUAGUCCCUGAGCGGGCUGGCAAGGCGCAU
rnacentral:rRNA from 1 species